rnacentral:rRNA from 1 species
GUGGGGAAUCUUAGACAAUGGGGGCAACCCUGAUCUAGCCAUGCCGCGUGAGUGAUGAAGGCCUUAGGGUUGUAAAGCUCUUUCAGUGGGGAAGAUAAUGACGGUACCCACAGAAGAAGCCCCGGCUAACUCCGUGCCAGCAGCCGCGGUAAUACGGAGGGGGCUAGCGUUGUUCGGAAUUACUGGGCGUAAAGCGCACGUAGGCGGAUCGGAAAGUUGGGGGUGAAAUCCCAGGGCUCAACCCGGGAACUGCCUUCAAAACUAUCGGUCUGGAGUCCGAGAGAGGUGAGUGGAAUUCCGAGUGUAGAGGUGAAAUUCGUAGAUAUUCGGAGGAACACCAGUGGCGAAGGCGGCUCACUGGCUCGGUACUGACGCUGAGGUGCGAAAGCGUGGGGAGCAAACAGGAUUAGAAACCCCUGUAGUCC